UUCCGUAGGUGAACCUGCGGAAGGACUCAUUACCGAGUUUUCGGGCUUCGGCUCGACUCUCCCACCCUUUGUGAACGUACCUCUGUUGCUUUGGCGGCUCCGGCCGCCAAAGGACCUCCAAACUCCAGUCAGUAAACGCAGACGUCUGAUAAACAAGUUAAUAAACUAAAACUUUCAACAACGGAUCUCUUGGUUCUGGCAUCGAUGAAGAACGCAGCGAAAUGCGAUAAGUAAUGUGAAUUGCAGAAUUCAGUGAAUCAUCGAAUCUUUGAACGCACAUUGCGCCCCUUGGUAUUCCGGGGGGCAUGCCUGUUCGAGCGUCAUUACAACCCUCAAGCUCUGCUUGGAAUUGGGCACCGUCCUCACUGCGGACGCGCCUCAAAGACCUCGGCGGUGGCUGUUCAGCCCUCAAGCGUAGUAGAAUACACCUCGCUUUGGAGUGGUUGGCGUCGCCCGCCGGACGAACCUUCUGAACUUUUCUCAAGGUUGACCUCGGAUCAGGUAGGGAUGGGACCCGCUGAACUUAAGCAUAUCAAUAAGCGGAGGA
rnacentral:rRNA from 1 species